UACGAAGGGGGCUAGCGUUGCUCGGAAUCACUGGGCGUAAAGCGCACGUAGGCGGAUCUUUAAGUCAGGGGUGAAAUCCCAAGGCUCAACCUUGGAACUGCCUUUGAUACUGGGGGAUCUCGAGUCCGGAAGAGGUUGGUGGAACUGCGAGUGUAGAGGUGAAAUUCGUAGAUAUCGCAAGAACACCAGUGGCGAAGGCGGCCAACUGGUCCGGUACUGACGCUGAGGUGCGAAAGCGUGGGGAGCAAACAGG
rnacentral:rRNA from 1 species